rnacentral:rRNA from 1 species
GAUGAACGCUGGCGGCGUGCCUAAUACAUGCAAGUCGAGCGAACAGACGAGGAGCUUGCUCCUCUGACGUUAGCGGCGGACGGGUGAGUAACACGUGGAUAACCUACCUAUAAGACUGGGAUAACUUCGGGAAACCGGAGCUAAUACCGGAUAAUAUAUUGAACCGCAUGGUUCAAUAGUGAAAGACGGUUUUGCUGUCACUUAUAGAUGGAUCCGCGCCGCAUUAGCUAGUUGGUAAGGUAACGGCUUACCAAGGCAACGAUGCGUAGCCGACCUGAGAGGGGGAUCGGCCACCCUGGAACUGAGACACGGUCCAGACUCCUACGGGAGGCAGCAGGAGGGAAUCUUCCGCAAUGGGCGGAAGCCUGACGGAGCCACGGCGGGGGAGUGAUGAAGGGCUUCGGAUCGUAAAACUCUGUUAUUAGGGAAGAACAAAUGUGUAAGUAACUAUGCACGUCUUGUCGGUACCUAAUCAGAAAGCCACGGCUAACUACGUG